CAAUAGCGUAUACUAAAGUUGUUGCGGUAAAAAAGCUCGUAGUUGGAUUUCUGUUGAGAGCGACCGGUCCAUACCAUGUAUGCGUAUCUGGCUUGCUCUCGGCAUCCUCUCGAUAGACGUUACUGCGCUUGAUUGCGUGGUGCGGAUCUCGGGACUUUUACUUUGAGGAAAUUAGAGUGUUCACGGCAGGCUUUCGCCAGAAUACAUUAGCAUGGAAUAAUACUAUAGGAUCUUGGUUCUAUUUUGUUGGUUUCUAGAAUUGAGAUAAUGAUUAAUAGGGACAAUUGGGGGCAUUCGUAUCAACACGUCAGAGGUGGAAUUCUUGGAUUGUGUUGCGACGAACUACUGCGAAAGCAUUUGCCAAGGAUGUUUUCAUUGA
rnacentral:rRNA from 1 species